CUCCCUGAACUGCCAGCAGACAAAGCCCUGGGAAUCUGACUAAUCUCCUUUGGGGUUACAUGCAAUGGGCAGUUUACUACUUUUCAGCAUCUUUUUUCUUCUUGAUUACCCAAUUAUUGUCCCCACAUUCACAGAAGCCAAAUAGACACCCUAGUAUGUGGUCCUUGAAGCCAAGAAUGACACAAUUUUUUCAAACUGUCUGGCCAACUAAGACCGUCUUGAAUUGAAAUCAGUCACUUCUCAUAGGACAGUGAAUUGUCUGUCUACAUUGCUAAUGAGGUUCAGCUGCACAAAUAAAUCUGAGAAGGUGCCAGACACUUCCUCCACUGCCUUCCACACUUCCAUUUUUCAACUGGGAACUUCUGUCAAGAGAAGCGCUGCCUGCCGAUCCUGCCCGAGAGGUUUUCAUUCCUGGAGACCAGCAGCUACUGGCCGAGCUGGGGAGGCGAUGGGAGUGGGAUGCUGCUCCUGCAAAAAGCAAGCAAGUGCCGCCCAGACCCUGCACAUCCC